GUGUCAGCCGCCGCGGUAAGACGAACCGUCCGAACGUUAUUCGGUAUCACUGGGCUUAAAGAGUUCGUAGGCGGCCAGAUAGGUCAGGUGUGAAAUCCCACAGCUCAACUGUGGAACUGCGCUUGAAACCAUCUGGCUUGAGGGAGAUAGAGGUGAGCGGAACUGAUGGUGGAGCGGUGAAAUGCGUUGAUAUCAUCAGGAACACCGGUGGCGAAAGCGGCUCACUGGGUCUCUUCUGACGCUGAGGAACGAAAGCUAGGGGAGCGAACGGGAUUAGAUACCCCGGUAGUCCUAGCCGUAAACGAUGAGCACUAGUCCGUGGGGACUCUCACAUCCUCUCGGACGUAGCGAAAGUGUCAAGUGCUCCGCCUGGGGAGUAUGGUCGCAAGGCUGAAACUCAAAUGAAUUGACGGGG
rnacentral:rRNA from 1 species